UUGCAGCUGUCAAAUAAAUGAUUUAUCUAUCUAUCUAUCUAUCUAUCAUUUUAGGGUUCCGUAGCCAAAUGGCAAAAAACGGAACCCUUGUGGAUUCGCCAUGUCUGUCUGUCUGUCUGUCUGUCUGUCUGUCUGUCUGUCUGUCUGUCUGUCUGUCUGUCUGUCUGUCUGUCUGUCUGUCCGUCCGUAUGUCACAGCCACUUUGUUCCGAAACUAUAAGAACUAUACUGUUGAAACUUGGUAAGUAGAUGUAUUAUGUGAACCGCGUUAAGAUUUUCACACAAAAAUAGAAAUAAAAACAAUAAAAUUUGGGGGUUCCCCAUACUUAGAACUGAAACUCAAAUUUUUUUUUAUCAAACCCAUACGUGUGGGGUAUCUAUGGAUAGGUCUUCAAAAAUUAUAUUGAGGUUUCUAAUAUCAUUUUUUUCUUAACUGAAUAGUUUGCGCGAGACACACUUCCAA